rnacentral:rRNA from 1 species
UACGUAGGGUGCGAGCGUUGUCCGGAAUUAUUGGGCGUAAAGAGCUUGUAGGCGGUUUGUCGCGUCUGCUGUGAAAAUCCGGGGCUCAACCCCGGACUUGCAGUGGGUACGGGCAGACUGGAGUGUGGUAGGGGAGUCUGGAAUUCCUGGUGUAGCGGUGGAAUGCGCAGAUAUCAGGAGGAACACCGAUGGCGAAGGCAGGUCUCUGGGCCACUACUGACGCUGAGAAGCGAAAGCAUGGGGAGCGAACAGG